rnacentral:rRNA from 1 species
GACAGAGGUGCCGAGCGUUAGGCGGAAUCACUGGGCUUAAAGCGUGUGUAGGCGGGCCGUUAAGUGUCUUGUGAAAUCCCCCGGCUCAACCGGGGAAUUGCUGGGCAUACUGGCGGUCUUGAGCAAUCUAGGGGCAGAUGGAACAAGUGGUGAAGCGGUGAAAUGCGUAGAUAUCACUUGGAACGCCAACGGUGAAGACAGUCUGCUGGGGAUUUGCUGACGCUGAGACACGCAAGCCAGGGGAGCGAACGGG